AGUCAAAUCAUGACGGUCGCCCUGAUGUAUUUUUCAUCGGGGAGGAAAGUCCGAGCUCCAGAGGGUAAUGCAUCCCGCUAACCCGGGACCUUGAGCCGUUUUUCCGUCGCAAAUGACGGGGGCGGUUUUCGGGAUUAGAGCCACAGCGACGAAGAACCUGCUUUCGGGUGGGGGAAGUGAAACGCGGCAAUCUCUGCAUGGAGCAAGGCCAAAUAGGGAACGUCCCUUGAUAAAAGGGAACGAGGUGACCCGCUUCGUGUUUCCGGGUAGGCCGCAAGAGUCCCACGGGCAACCGGGGGAGUAAGUUAGAUGACCGUCCUUCCGUCACAGGAAGAACAGAACUCGGCUUAAGUGGUUUGAUUCUUU
rnacentral:RNase_P_RNA from 1 species